rnacentral:misc_RNA from 1 species
GGAAACAUCUAAGUUGAACUUAACAACUCCUUCACUUUGUGGUGUCAAAUGUAUCUUUUGGAAAUCCAACAAGUGCUUUUGAGGUGCAUUGUGAACUGAGGGUGGUGAAGUGAACAACAAAACAGUGUGGCUUCCUCUCAUUUUCCCAACAUUUUGAACUUUCAAGUGGAUAUCUAAUCCCAAGUUGUUGCAGCCUUGCUCAUUAACAGCAUCAAUAGACUUGCACUUUGUCGAUCGACAAGCAUGUCCUUCCUCAAGGGGAAUGGACACAAAUUUUGGUGCUUUUACUAGGUGGUGUUUGUAUUGGGUGUAGCUUAAACCAUCACCAAAGUUGAAAACAGUUGGACCUUUGUAGAACCUGUAACUUCUUCCAGGGAAUCCUGUUUUUGGAUCUGCCCUCAUGUUCAUGUUAGUCAUGUCAACUUUGUCUACAUAUGACUGUGGAUACCAUGUCAUUGGAAGCCUUCCACCUGGAUUGUGAUAUCCAAAAACAACAUCAGCCAACGCAGCACCACCAGCUUCACCAGGGAAGCCAACCCAAAGAAUGCUAGUGACUUUAGGAUUAUCGACAGCAAAUUUUACAUCCAUGCCACCUCCAGACAUGAUAACAAGGAUUACAGGUCCCUUGGAAACACUAGCAACCUCUGUUACUAGAAGUGAUUGUUGUCCAGGGAGAGUUAUAUUAAAUCUGUCUUUGCUCUCUCUUUCAAUAGUUUGAUCUGAUCCCAUUACCAACACUACGGCAUCAGCUGCAGCUGCUACUUUCUUGGCAUUAUCAACUUGUGCAGUGGCACAAGCUAUAUCACAGCCUUGUUGAUAAACUGUUGAAACUGAUGCACCUAGGCCAUCCAAAGGAGUUGUAUACUUGCAUGGACUACCUUCAUAACUUCCAACCAUGGUAUAGGCAAGAUUGGCAUUAGGGCCAAUGACUGCUAAUGACUUGAUGGAUUUGGGGGAUAGAGGCAAUGAACCUGCCGUGUUUUUAAGCAAGACGAUUCCUUGUCUUGCAGCUUCACGAGCUAGCUCUUGGUGAUCUUCAGUACAAAUAUCCUUGGGACCAAGAUUUCCAUAAAGUUGGUUUUUU